UUCAUGGAGAGUUUGAUCCUGGCUCAGGACGAACGCUGGCGGCGUGCCUAAUACAUGCAAGUCGAGCGGACAGAUGGGAGCUUGCUCCCUGAUGUCAGCGGCGGACGGGUGAGUAACACGUGGGUAACCUGCCUGUAAGACUGGGAUAACUCCGGGAAACCGGGGCUAAUACCGGAUGCUUGAUUGAACCGCAUGGUUCAAUUAUAAAAGGUGGCUUCGGCUAUCACUUACAGAUGGACCCGCGGCGCAUUAGCUAGUUGGUGAGGUAACGGCUCACCAAGGCAACGAUGCGUAGCCGACCUGAGAGGGUGAUCGGCCACACUGGGACUGAGA
rnacentral:rRNA from 1 species